GGCUCAGGAUGAACGCUAGCUACAGGCUUAACACAUGCAAGUCGAGGGGCAGCAUGUUGGUUGCUUGCAACCAAUGAUGGCGACCGGCGCACGGGUGAGUAACGCGUAUCCAACCUUCCCCUUAGUAGAGGAUAGCCCGGCGAAAGUCGGAUUAAUACUCUAUGUUCUUCAAUGCGGACAUCUAAGUUGAAGCAAAGAUUUAUCGCUAAGGGAUGGGGAUGCGUCUGAUUAGGUUGCAGGCGGGGUAACGGCCCACCUGGCCUACGAUCAGUAGGGGUUCUGAGAGGAAGGUCCCCCACACUGGUACUGAGACACGGACCAGACUCCUACGGGAGGCAGCAGUGAGGAAUAUUGGUCAAUGGGCGCGAGCCUGAACCAGCCAAGUAGCGUGCAGGACGAACCUGCCCUAUGGGUUGUAAACUGCUUUUAUCAGGGAAUAAAGUGAGGCACGCGUGCCUUUUUGUAUGUACCUGAUGAAUAAGGACCGGCUAAUUCCGUGCCAGCAGCUGC
rnacentral:rRNA from 1 species